GGAGAGUGGCUCAGUGGUAGAGCACCUGUUUUGCAUGCGGGAGGUCCCCUGGUUCAAUUCUCUGCAUCUCCA
rnacentral:tRNA from 1 species